GAAAAGAAACUAACUAGGAUUCCCUUAGUAGCGGCGAGCGAACAGGGAAAAGCCCAGCACCGAAUCCCGCGGCCGUCGCCGGCCGCCGGGAAAUGUGGUGUUAGGGAGGAUCAUUGUCUCGGUGUCGCACGGCGCGUCCAAGUCCACCUUGAACGGGGCCACUUACCCAUAGAGGGUGCCAGGCCCGUAGCGACCGCCGUCGGCGCCGGGAGGAUCUCUCCUCAGAGUCGGGUUGCUUGAGAGUGCAGCCCUAAGUGGGUGGUAAACUCCAUCUAAGGCUAAAUAUUACCACGAGACCGAUAGCGAACAAGUACCGUGAGGGAAAGUUGAAAAGAACUUUGAAGAGAGAGUUCAACAGUACGUGAAACCGUUCAGGGGUAAACCUGAGAAACUCGAAAAGUCGAAACGGGGAGAUUCAACUUGUCUCGCGGGUCGCGCGCGRCUUCGGUACACGACGUUCGGCGCGGUCGUCGCUUCGGCGGCGGCUUAGCGUCGUUCGCGCCGGAGCCGUUGCAAGAGCGCCUGCGAACUUGUGCACUUCUCCCCGCAGUAGAAAGGUCGUGACCCGUUGGGCGUCGGUCUACGGCCCGCGGUGGAGCCCGCUUGUGAGUGUUUCGGCACUCCUUCGGACCCGCGGUGUCCCGGCCGGCUCGCUCGACGGUACGAAUAUAGGUGCGGGACCGCGAAUUUUCUCGCGUCCGGCGCGCGGCAAGCGCGGUCGGUUUAAAACUCCGGCUGUCGGACCUGUGUGCCGACACCGGACCCGAUCGGCUGCUGGUCGCGUAGCUCUCGGACAGAUCCCGUCGUUGUGCCACCUGUCGACGACGCUUUAGCAUUGGGUACUCUCAGGACCCGUCUUGAAACACGGACCAAGGAGUCUAGCAUGUGCGCGAGUCAUUGGGACCGAGCGAAACCUAAAGGCGAAAUGAAAGCGAAGGCCGUUCUUGACGGACGCGCCGAGGGAAGAUGCGGAGCGCCGAGGCACUCCGCCGCAUUCCCGGGGCGUUUCGUGCUCAUCGCGAGCUGAAGCGCACCUAGAGCGUACAUGCUGGGACCCGAAAGAUGGUGAACUAUGCCUGGUCAGG
rnacentral:rRNA from 1 species